GCUUACGGCCAUACCACCUUGAGAACGCCCCAUCUCGUCUGAUCUCGGAAGCUAAGCAGGGUCGGGCCUGGUUAGUACUUGGAUGGGAGACCGCCUGGGAAUACCAGGUGCUGUAAGCC
rnacentral:rRNA from 1 species